rnacentral:lncRNA from 1 species
UGCAGUAUUGACGGUGGCAAAUUUAUGGGGAGGGACAACCCUGUCCACCCUUUUUAUAAAUCUGUAAAAAAACACAAAAAAUGCGGACUUGCAACAUUCUUAGACAUCUGUCCCGUUAUUGAAUCAAAUUGAGAAUGGAAAUAGGGAAUGUGUCAAAGAGACAACAACCCGACGAAAGAGCAGUUAAGUUGUUCGUCAACUGUAGAUUUAUCAUAGUGAAUCAAAACUUUAAAGAUGAUUAAAAGCAAGAUUGAAAAACAAGUUCCUGUUAUGCAACAAAAAGUCCCAACGAUAAAGAAAUAACUAAGUUUUAAUUAAUCGGUCUGAAACAAUAAUGAAAUAAGUAAGAUUUUAUUAAUAGGUCAGAAUGUCUGCUGGAAGAAGACUUACCUCACAAUGAUCAGCAAUUAGACUAUUCCCAUAAAACACUGGAAGUACAGCAGAAAAGUCUUUUAAAUUAUGUAAAACAAAUCCUCGAUGUUAACAGCUCGAAUAGAAAAAAUGACAGUCAACGUUAUAAAAUAUUAAUGUACCUCCUUGGACUAGACAAUAUAUUUGAUUGGCUAAUGACUUGAGUUGGAACAACUGAAGCUAAGAUUGUGAAAACUUUCUGACGAUCGACUUCUAUAGACACCUACCUACUCAUAAUGAUGACGGUCCUAGACAGAAAGUUAAUCUUAUUAGAGGAAAAAAUGUCCGGUAAUAACUUUGGCUAGACUAUGGAUAAUUAUUGAUUUAAAGUAGAGAAUUACCAGGUGUUUUUUUGUGACGAACAAUUACAACCAAUCUCCGGCCAAACGAAUGUCAUACCGAUGUCUGGACAUAGGAGAAAACCUGUUAAUACUAAAUCCAUACCGGAUAUGAAUACUAAACAGUAAUACAACUCAACAUUAUUAAAACUGAUCAACUGUUCGGUUUAAUCGUUGACAGACAUUUUUUUAGGAUGUUUUCUUUCUUCAUUGUAUAAAUGUAACUUUCUCAGGGGGAUUUUUAUUCUGUCUUUUAUAAUAUAUAUUCCAUCAAAUGUUAAUGAGGGUAUGAAUGCCCUUUACCGUCAGACUGUCAUUUUAGGCUACUGUUAGCAUCAAAUUGGUUUAAUUUUUACCGUGAUUAGUCAAAUUAUUCGUAACGUGAUUCAUCAGAGGUCUCAAAUAAUUAUUGUAACCGUUUUUUUAAAAAUUUUUUUUUAAAUCAAACGUGAUUCGUAAAACAUUUGGCAAGAAUUUUGAUGGUUAUUCGUCAUGAAUGUACCUCCAUUACCACACUCCUUUAUCCAAAGGGUAGCUGCCAAAUUUACAGUAAACAAGAAUGUGUCCUCAGUACACGAAUGCCCCACUCGCACUAUCAUUUUCUAUGUUCAGUGGACGUGAAAUGGGUAAAACUAAUUUGGCAUUAAAUUAGAAAGAUCAUUUAUAGGAACAUGUGUCAAGUUUGAAGUCGAUUGGACUUCAACUUCAUCAAAAACUACCUGUCCAAAAAUUUAACCUGAAGCGGACAGACGGACGAACGAACGAACGGACGAACGAACGGACGGACGAACGAACGGACGCACAGACCAGAAAACAUAAUGCCCCUCUACUAUCGUAGGUGGGGCAUAAAAACAAAAGGAAUUGCAGAUACACAUGAAGUAAAAAUGAAUGAGACGGCACAUCCUCUUAACAAAGAAAGAUCAGGUGUUAUAUAGAUAUUAGAUUUACUGCUUCUAAUUUUAACAACAUUCAAUUUAAUUCUAUAGACCUCUGUCUACAUCUUUGGAAAAAUUUGUUUAACUUGAAAUAAGAAUACAGCUGUGGUAUAGACAUUAAACAUGUUUUGUAGAAUAUUAGAAUUUUGAUUAUACAAAGAAUAAUAGUACAUUAGAAAUAUUCAUUUCAACAAUAUAUAAAUCAGAGGUUUCAAAAAUUCAAUGCUUCCAAAAAUGUAUUAUAAACAUAGGCUGACAAUUUCAGUGGUUACAACUUAAAUUUCUGGAAUGCUCCGGAAUUCAGGAAGAAAACUAAAAAAAAAAAAGAUAAAAAAGAAGAUUGAAUAAUGUUUGGGAAGAACUAGAUGUUAAAAGUUUUUUUUCUGUGGACAUUGAAAUUAUUUGAAUAUGUCAUUACAAUAUUUCUUUAUAAAUCACAAUCUAGUUAAGACAAUCUUUCGGAAUCCACCCACUACUACCCAACUGCACCAUUACCACUCCAGGUGUUGGUUCACCAAAUUUAAAUUCUAAAUUUAAGUAAAUAUGAAUAAGAAGUUGGGGCUAUAACAAUGAGACAGCAACCACACAAUACAAGUUCCACUAAAUUAGACUUGGGAAGAGGGGGUUUAGAAGUGAUAUUAAAACCUGUCUGCUGCUAGACCAAGUCAAUAAAACUGAGAAAGGAAAUGGGGAAUGUGUCAAAGAGACAACAACCCAACCAAAGAGUACAAAACAGUCGACAGCCACUAAUGGCUCUUCAAUACAGUGAGAAACUCUUGCAGCCAGAGCCGUGCUACAUCUGAGCUAAAAAAAAAAAAAAGUGUACUAGUUCAGUAAUAAUGGUCAUCCUACUAUUAAAACUUCGAAAUAUAUAAAAAGAUACAUCUGUAUAUGAAAUACCUCUCGUGUCAUUUUGUUUUGUAAGAAUAGCCAUCAAUACAAUCAUCAAACUCUCAGACACUAUAAAAACUCAAGAUGGGUAAAUUAAGUGAAUAAAUCUUAAAAC